rnacentral:rRNA from 1 species
AGCAGCCGCGGUAAUUCCAGCUCCAAUAGCGUAUAUUAAAGUUGUUGCAGUUAAAAAGCUCGUAGUUGAACCUUGGGCCUGGCUGGCCGGUCCGCCUCACCGCGUGCACUGGUCCGGCCGGGCCUUUCCUCCUGGGGAGCCCUAUGCCCUUCACUGGGUGUAGUGGGGAACCAGGACUUUUACCUUGAAAAAAU